rnacentral:rRNA from 1 species
UACGUAGGGUGCGAGCGUUAAUCGGAAUUACUGGGCGUAAAGCGUGCGCAGGCGGUUCGUUGUGUCGGCGGUGAAAGCCCCGGGCUCAACCUGGGAAUGGCCGUUGAAACUGGCGAACUGGAGUGUGGCAGAGGGGGGUGGAAUUCCGCGUGUAGCAGUGAAAUGCGUAGAGAUGCGGAGGAACACCGAUGGCGAAGGCAGAUCUCUGGGCCGUAACUGACGCUGAGGAGCGAAAGCAUGGGGAGCGAACAGG